rnacentral:rRNA from 1 species
UACGUAGGUGGCAAGCGUUGUCCGGAUUUACUGGGCGUAAAGAGCGCGCAGGCGGUCGUUCAAGUCGCGUGUGAAAGCCCCCGGCUCAACUGGGGAGGGUCACGCGAUACUGAUCGACUCGAAGGCAGGAGAGGGUAGUGGAAUUCCCGGUGUAGUGGUGAAAUGCGUAGAUAUCGGGAGGAACACCAGUGGCGAAGGCGGGUUGCUGGGCCGACACUGACGCUGAUGCGCGAAAGCCAGGGGAGCGAACGGG